GUUUAUAGCCAUACCACCCUGAAUGCACUUGAUCUAGUCUGGAAGCGAAGCAAGGUUGGGCCUGGUUAGUACUUGGCUGGGAGAAAUCGACUUUUGAGAAAAGACCUUGCAAUGCUUUGAAUG
rnacentral:rRNA from 1 species